AGAUCAGACACGGCAGAGGGACUGACACCAACGCGAGAGCCCUCCAAGUGCAAACUUUAUUGAGCGUGGACAUAAUAUGCCACAAUGAUCACUCUCAAGCUGUUCACUGCUCUCUUUCUGCUGGCUGGAACCAGCAGUGGACCUAUUAAGGUAAAACGCCAACUGCCACAUGGGUCAUCACGUCUACAUCCCGGACUAUCACAGGCAAAACCAAGAACUCCACCUGGCCCACCGAGACCGCCACCUGAUCCACCAGGAACACCACCAGGACCACCUGCAACCCCUGUUA